CGUGCCACUGUGCUCCAACCUGGAUAACAGAGUGAGACUCGGUCUCAAAAAUAAAAAUAAAAAAGAUAAAUUCACUAAGUAAAAAAUUUUAAAACUCAAAUAUAGAAACUGAUGCAUUCAUAAAACUGCUAAUCAAGAUCAAUCAGAACAAAAAAAUUCAUUAUGUGACAUUAAGUAAUUGACCAAGAUAAAGUCUUUGUAACAAGAUAAUGUCUUUUGUUUGAAAUAUUAUGGAUUAUUUAUUUAUUUAUUUACUUAUUUUUGAGACAGAGUCUUGCUCUGCUGCCCAAGCUGGAGUGCAGUGGUGUGAUCUCAGUUCACCACAACCUCUGCUUCCCGGGUUCAAGUGAUUCUCCCGGAUCAGCCUCCCAAGUAGCCGGGACUACAGGCACACACCACCAUGCCCGGCUAAUUUUUGUAUUUUUAGUAGAGAUGGGGUUUCACUACAUUGGCCAUGCUGGUCUCGAACUCUUGACCUUGUGAUCCAGCUGCCUCAGCCUCCCAAAGUACUGGGAUUACAGGUGUGAGCUGCUGCACCUGGCCUGAUUCUUUAUUUAAAUAUUUUGUUUUCCAGAUUUAAAGAAACUUUUCUCAUAAGCUAUGCCUGGCUUCAAGAGUUCCCAGGCUUACAGUGAGUGAGUACAAACUGUCAUUUUCUGGAAAGCCCAAGAACCUUAAGACUGUAGGUAAAAUCUAAAAUCUGCCUUGGUUUGGCUUCCUAGCUUCAAGGGGUAUUUAAAUCAGAGAUUCCCAUGUAAUCAAUGCAGAGAGAAAAAGUUAUGUUUCCCAAUAAAAAUUACANNNNNNNNNNNNNNNNNNNNNNAAAAAAAAAAAAAAAAAAAAAAAAAAUGCAAAACUGCUCUGUUUCUAAAGCCCUAUAAACUGAAACUAGAUAAAUUUUAAGAAACAAGUCAUGCUUAUGUGUGGGCCACACAAAAUGUUUAAUAAGCUGCCCAAUGUCAUUAGCAGAGCCAUUUAAGCUACAAAUCAGAAAAAGAAGUUGGUGUUUUCACACUGUAGACAGCUUUUUCCAAGACAUUGGAACAAGAUUCCAUAUCAUAAUGAGACUUUUACCCCCGUUAAUGCUACCUUUUUUCACUUGGCAGAAGAAUGAUGUAAUUACAACUUCACAAUUAAUAGCUUCUG
rnacentral:lncRNA from 1 species